AGAGUUUGAUCAUGGCUCAGAGCGAACGCUGGCGGCAGGCUUAACACAUGCAAGUCGAGCGGGCGUAGCAAUACGUCAGCGGCAGACGGGUGAGUAACGCGUGGGAACGUACCUUUUGGUUCGGAACAACACAGGGAAACUUGUGCUAAUACCGGAUAAGCCCUUACGGGGAAAGAUUUAUCGCCGAAAGAUCGGCCCGCGUCCCAUUAGCUAGUUGGUAGGGUAAUAGCCUACCAAGGCGACGAUGGGUAGCUGGUGUGAGAGCACGACCAGCCACACGGGCACUGAGACACGGGCCCGACUCCUACGGGAGGCAGCAGUGAGGAAUAUUGGUCAAUGGACGCAAGUCUGAACCAGCCAUGCCGCGUGAAGGACGAAGGCCUUCUGGGUUGUAAACUUCUUUUAUUGGGGAAGAAAAUUACGGUUUCUACUGUAACCGACGGUACCCAAGGAAUCAGCACCGGCUAACUCCGUG
rnacentral:rRNA from 1 species